UCCGAUCCCUCCCUGCACCUUGAAACGUGAUGUACGGUUUCGACACUGGCACCGUCACCUUCUCUCUGCACCGCAUCCACCAUAUCAGAACUCACAACUCAUUACGUGCAGUAACACACCACUAAUUUUCGUAAGAUUUGUUAUUAAUAUUAUUAUUGGUCUUACAUGUAACAACCUGCGCUAAUUUGAAUAAGCACGUUCAUUCUGUUUCUUUCAGGGACGGAAUCAACGGCAGCUUGGACCGAUUUGAACUCGCCGGACCCAUUAACAUCAACGGUGAUUACACGGUGGCCGACGGGUCCAAUCCACAUGUGAUGGUGCUUAGUAGAAU
rnacentral:lncRNA from 1 species